UACGGGAGGGGCAAGCGUUGUUCGGAAUUACUGGGCGUAAAGGGCUCGUAGGCGGCCAACUAAGUCAGACGUGAAAUCCCUCAGCUUAACUGGGGAACUGCGUCUGAUACUGGAUGGCUUGGAUUUGGGAGAGGGAUGCGGAAUUCCAGGUGUAGCGGUGAAAUGCGUAGAUAUCUGGAGGAGCACCGGUGGCGAAGGCGGCAUCCUGGACCAACAUUGACGCUGAGGAGCGAAAGCGUGGGGAGCAAACAGG
rnacentral:rRNA from 1 species